GCUGUAUCCUAGCAAUGCUGAAGCUGUUCCAGGGCUUCCAGAGGGAGCCAGAGGAGCAGAGGACUGAGGCAUAGUCUCCUGGUUCUGAGGCGAGGAUUGUUCAGCUUCCACCAUCAGCCUUUCAGCCUGUGGGUGAGGACUUUCUAGCUUCCAGCACCAGCCCUUGGACUUCCGGCCCUUGGACUUCCGGCCCUUGGACUUCCGGCCCUUGGACUUCCGGCCCCUGGACUUCCGGCCCUUGGACUUCCAACAGGAUCCUUCGUCCUUCCUCCACCUCCCGGUGCACACUUGCAUAGGACAUUGCUGUGAGCUCCAGGCCCUCCUUGGAGCUCUGUCGCUCAGACAGAUCACUUACACUUUUCUACAUUUAACUCUGUGGGCAAAUAUUGUAGGCCACUCUUGUAGAUUUCUGUGUUCUGUAUUAACUCUGUUCUCUUGCAAAACAUUGACUAAUACACCAUGGUAAGCAGGAAAAUUACUUAUGAUUGCAAUAUAUAAUCAAUGAUUAAGUUGAAAUUGUCAAACUUAUUCUUUGAAUCCUUAUAAUAAAUAAAAUAUAACCCUUUAUAGAUCUA